rnacentral:rRNA from 1 species
GACGGGGCCCGCACAAGCGGUGGAGCAUGUGGUUAAUUCGACGCAACGCGAAGAACCUUACCAGGGCUUGACAUCCCCUGACCGUCUAUGAAAGUAGGCUUUCUACCUUCGGGUAGACAGGGAGACAGGUGGUGCAUGGUUGUCGUCAGCUCGUGUCGUGAGAUGUUGGGUUAAGUCCCGCAACGAGCGCAACCCUUACGGUUAGUUGCCAGCGGGUUAUGCCGGGCACUCUAGCUGAACUGCCGUUGACAAAACGGAGGAAGGUGGGAUGACGUCAAAUCAUCAUGCCCUUUAUGUCCUGGGCUACACACGUGCUACAAUGGCCUGUACAGAGGGAAGCGAAAGGGUGACCUGGAGCGAAUCCCAAAAAGCAGGUCUCAGUUCGGAUUGCAGGCUGCAACCCGCCUGCAUGAAGUCGGAAUCGCUAGUAAUCGCAGGUCAGCAUACUGUGGUGAAUACGUUCCCGGGCCUU